GGGGUUAUAGCUCAGUUGGUUAGAGUGCUUCGUUGACAUCGAAGAGGUCACAGAUUCGAAUUCUGUUAAUCCCACCA
rnacentral:tRNA from 1 species